CAUUUAAUUUUAAAACAUUGUAUAAAUAAAAUAUUGUAUGUAAUCAGAUAAAUUUAACUUAAUAACCGGAGCUUGUUAUUUUUUUUAAAUUUUCAAUAUUGGAGAAUAGAUCUUCAGUAAAAUUAUUUAAAUCUAAACACAUAUAGAUUGACUUAAUAAAAUAUUUUACUUGUAAACCUAAAAUGUAUGUUUACACCUGAGUGACCUGCAGAGAUUAAACCUGUACAUAGUACAAAAUAAAAUG